AUUGAACGCUGGCGGUAUGCCUAACACAUGCAAGUCGAACGAGUCGCGGACGUGAUAUGAAUACAUCUGAAUCUACUCUGUCGUUGGGGAUAACGUAGGGAAACUUACACUACUACCGCACUCGAAUGAAUGCGCCGGAGUCGUAUUAGCUAGUUGGCGGGGUAAAGGCCCACCAAGGCGACGAUCCGUAGCUGGUCUGAGAGGAUGAGCAGCCACACUGGAACUGAGACACGGUCCAGACUCCUACGGGAGGCAGCAGUGGGGAAUAGUGGACAAUGGGCGAAAGCCUGAUCCAGCCAUACCGCGUGGGUGAAGAAGGCCUUCGGGUUGUAAAGCACUUUUGUGGGGAAAGCGGUACCCAAAGAAUAAGCACCGGCUAACUACGUGCCAGCAGCCGCGGUAAUAC
rnacentral:rRNA from 1 species